CUUAGGGUUGUGUUGAAGGAAGCAGUGUCCAUUCCACAGCAGGUAUGGGUGUACCCAGGCUACGAUGUUGGGCACUCUGCAGGCUUGUGUCAAUGAUGUGGACUGAAAACAUCACACUCACUAAAGGGCCAGUUACUACGCUGCCAAACUUCAGCAAAUGGAUCUGUUUGUUAACAACAUUAGGACCACGAGCCAUAGACCUUGACCUUUGGCCAAUGCAGCCAUAUAUGUUAAUGGGCCACAGUGAUGCUAAGCUCAGGAUUGCCAAGUUGGUAUUUCUUGUGGAUCGAACAAAUGUUUGAAAAUUCAGAGAACUGCUGGGUGCUAGGUUUGUGCGUAACUAUGGAUUAACUGCCAUCUAUGAUGAAGUGGAUCAACACUGAGAGUACUGCCCAUGGCACACUAGAAUGAAUCUCUGAGCUGAUCCUGGUCAGGUCCAUGUUGACACUGACCGCUACAAGCAAGUCAGAGUAUUAUCUGGAUCAUACAGAACAAACUUCACAAUCAACUCUGGUACUGGCAGUGUGGUGACCACAGUCGAAGAGAAUCUCCAUCUUUGUGAGAUGUUAACAUUCAUUUCAGGGACAGCUUCUUCUGCCAUCUGGCGUCCUCGACUACAUUCAAUCAGUAGAUUAACAGAAAGGUCACUAUUAGAAUUGCUGAUGUUUACUGACCGCCAUGGGUAUCCCGAGAACGUCCAGUAUUAUGUAUACACUAUUGUCUUCCUGUACCCUGAUGGUGUUGCACAAGAUCAGGAGGAGACUAAUACAGUUGAUGCACUGGUGCACAUUGCAAGGUCCUCAACAACAUUGAAAUAAUAGAGGGCCAGGUGUACAUGAAGAGGUCAUAUCUGAUGGACACCUUCCACAUAGAUGAUGGGUCUUAAAGGAUGGUGCAGGAAGCUGGAGGAGUUUCAUCCAAAGUGAGAUGAAUCACAAGCCAGUUGACCAGGGUCAUCUUGAUUCCACUGGCAACGUCCACAUCGCUGACCGGAAGUGUUGCUCCAGGCAACCGUAAAUGAUGCCCUUGCAACCAGUAAUGUACGGACUAGCCAGAAGACCAUCACCUGGGUCAUGGGUCGUUCCAUUGACAAGCGGACUGUUUGUUGGCAGACCCGACCCAUCCCACUGACGAGCGGACUGCUAUUGGCAACCAUUGUGUGGACGUGUGUAGGAACUGAUUGUUUUGCAUCAAGAAAGUAUGUGAACAACAUUGGCCAUUCCAAGAGAUCAACAACAUUGGCCAUUCCAACAACAUUGGCCAUUCCAAGAUCAACAACAUAUGCCAUUCCAAGAGAUCAACAACAUUGGUCAUUCCAAGAGAUCAACAACAUUGGUCAUUCCAAGAGAUCAACAACAUUGGUCAUUCCAAGAUCAACAACAUUGGUCAUUCCAAGAGAUCAACAACAUUGGUCAUUCCAAGAGAUCAACAACUGAAACUGAAACUGAUUUAUUUCAUUAAACGCCUAUUUCUAUAUAAAUAUUCAAUGGCGUUGUACACACAAUACAAAAUAUAAGAAUCACAAAUUAUAGAACAAAAUCAAACACUGAGACAUAUACCAUA